AUUGAACGCUGGCGGCAUGCCUUACACAUGCAAGUCGAACGGCAGCACGGACUUCGGUCUGGUGGCGAGUGGCGAACGGGUGAGUAAUGUAUCGGAACGUACCUUUCAGUGGGGGAUAACGUAGCGAAAGUUACGCUAAUACCGCAUAGUCUGUGAGCAGGAAGGCAGGGGAUCGCAAAACCUUGCGCUGGUGGAGCGGCCGAUAACAGAUUAGCUAGUUGGUGGGGUAAAGGCCUACCAAGGCUACGAUCUGUAGCGGGCCUGAGAGGAUGAUCCGCCACACUGGAACUGAGACACGGUCCAGACUCCUACGGGAGGCAGCAGUGGGGAAUUUUGGACAAUGGGGGCAACCCUGAUCCAGCCAUGCCGCGUGAGUGAAGAAGGCCUUCGGGUUGUAAAGCUCUUUCGGCCGGGAAGAAAUCGCAUAGGCUAAUACCCUGUGUGGGUGACGGUACCGGAAUAAGAAGCACCGGCUAACUACGUGCCAGCAGCCGCCGCCGUAA
rnacentral:rRNA from 1 species